AUUGCCGUGGCCGGCGGGCACUGGGGCCCCGUGUUUUCAGAGUCAUGGAGGCGCUAAUUCCUGUCAUUAACAAGCUCCAGGACGUCUUCAACACGGUGGGCGCCGACAUCAUCCAGCUGCCUCAAAUCGUCGUAGUGGGAACGCAGAGCAGCGGAAAGAGCUCAGUGCUAGAAAGCCUGGUGGGGAGGGACCUGCUUCCCAGAGGUACUGGAAUUGUCACCCGGAGACCUCUCAUUCUGCAACUGGUCCAUGUUUCACAAGAAGAUAAACGAAAAACAACAGGAGAAGAAAAUGGGGUGGAAGCAGAAGAAUGGGGUAAAUUUCUUCACACCAAAAAUAAGGUCGCAGAACCCUAGCUGUAAUCACUAAACUUGAUCUCAUGGAUGCGGGUACUGAUGCCAUGGAUGUAUUGAUGGG
rnacentral:sRNA from 1 species